rnacentral:pre_miRNA from 1 species
GAUAAGUUUUCUCUCUCCCAGUCCUGCAAUAGGAUCAGACUGUGUCCUAGAGAAGCAGCAGAGAAUGGACAUUCUCUC